GGGCCUAUAGCUCAGGGGUUAGAGCAGUCGGCUCAUAACCGAAAGGUCCCAGGUUCGAUCCCUGGUAGGCCCA
rnacentral:tRNA from 1 species